rnacentral:tRNA from 1 species
GGCCAGGGUGGUGUAGCCUGGUUAGCACGCGGGCUCGUGGAGCCCGUAGCCCGGGUUCGAAUCCCGGCCCUGGCCUCCA